rnacentral:rRNA from 1 species
UACGUAGGGACCGAGCGUUGUCCGGAAUCAUUGGGCGUAAAGAGCGUGUAGGCGGCUUGCUAAGUCUUGCGUGAAAUCUCGGGGCUCAAACCCGAGCGGUCGUGGGAAACUGGCAGGCUAGAGUGCGGGAGAGGAGAAUGGAAUUCCUGGUGUAGCGGUGAAAUGCGCAGAUAUCAGGAAGAACACCCGUGGCGAAGGCGGUUCUCUGGAACGCAACUGACGCUGAGACGCGAAAGCGUGGGGAGCAAACAGG